GAUUCAGCCAUUCGACAUUGAGGUGAGCUGAUGGACCAGUGCAGAGCAGAGAGGUUGAUCUGGCCACGUGACACGAGGUAGUGCCAGGAUUAGUUGGGAUAGAGUAGGUGGGAGACUGCCAUUGCAUCAUUAUUUAUAUUGUUGGCAAGUCUGAGUUAGUCCCAUUGUAAGGGAGGCUUAGGAAACCAGUUUUAAGGUGAGAGGAUGAAGAAAGGAGGGUUGGGAAGAAACAGGAAAGAUGGGUGCAGAGUAGUACAGAGCCUUUAUCGAGAAAUGGAGAAAGUUUAUGCUGAGUUCUCAUGGGAUAAUGGAGAUGACUCGACAUUUCAUUGAGUGCAUCUGAAGUCCUUAGUGUCCCUGGCACAGAGAAAGAUUGGAAAAUGUUUUGAACUGUGUAGCACUGAAUAGAAUUAACCAUAACCAUAUUGUAUCAAUAAGUUUAAAAUUUUCUUUGAUAAACAACUUCCCUACACUCUCCCAGCCCCUGUCAGCCCCCCAUUCAACUUUACGACUCAGAGAGCUUUAGAUAUCUUGUCUAAAUGGGACCAAGUAGUGUCUUCUUUGUGCUUGGCUUAGUUGAGAUGAAUUUUAUAUUUUGACUUAUUAUAAUACCUUUAUGUUUUGGCUCCCAUGACUAGGGGCAUAAAACCAAUAAGGAGCAAACAGUGGAGCAGAGGUGUCACUUUGGAUGCUGUUGCACUGUUGGAGAUGGGAUUACAGUAUUAUGAGGAAGUCUGCAUAGAUGGAUACAAGUAGAAAGAAUUUGGGAGAUGAUGAAGGCGAAUGCUGUAUAUGCAUACACAGAAUGACUCUCUUUGAAGUGCUCUGCCCAGGAAGAUGCUCAAAAAGACACCAGCAAGCUCACCUCAGGACUGUCCUUUGUUCACCCAUUGCUUGAGGAAAACCAUGAUCCAUUAACA
rnacentral:lncRNA from 1 species